rnacentral:tRNA from 1 species
GCGAGGUUGGCCGAGCGGCUAGGCGGCCGGAGUUGAAACCGUGCCCACGCGGGUUCGAAUCCCGCACCUCGCA